rnacentral:misc_RNA from 1 species
UUCUGCUAAAAGUAAAGCCGUUUGUUAUCGUUUCGACACGUUUGAAUCGAAUGAACAAGAAACGUUUUUAUUAGCGGCCUAAGUCUCAGUAUUCGUUGAUUUUCAUCAACGAGAUGGAUGAAAAAUCCGAGAUUUUGGUUUUAAACGCCGAAGAUGAAGAUACCUUCCAAAAGUUGUAUUCCGAAGGUCUCAAAUAUAGCAAGCAAUGCUCGGAAGAAAGCAUGCCAGUUCCAAAGUUCUAUACCAAACUUCCUAAUCAUGAAAACAUGAUUAGCCUUAAACUGAGAGAAGAAGCUAGAACAGCAUUCCUUCAGAAGAAGAGCAAAGAACUCCUCGAUAACAAUGAACUGCAGAAUCUCUGGACUUUACUUGACAAAAAUCACAGCCCUCCUGCUGGUUCUGAGCAGAUGAUCAAUUAUAUUGAUUUUCUCAAAGUAGGCAACAUAGCUGGUCCAAAAUAUAAAGCAUUCUUUACACCAGAUGUAUUUGCAAGGCUAUUGCAGAAUGAUAUUCAUGGCAGAAUAUCAACCAUGGCAGUGUUCAAUUACAUCAUGAGGAAAGUUUGGUUACAGCAAACUAGAAUUGGUCUUUCAUUAUAUGAUGCCACAGGACAAGGUCUGCUUACUGAAAUGGAUUUAGAGAACUACAUAACUGAACUUAUCCCAACAUUGCCACAGUUAGAAGGGCUUGAAAAGUCAUUCCAUUCGUUUUACGUCUGUACCGCCGUACGCAAGUUCCUCUUUUUCCUAGAUCCAUUAAAGCUAGGCAAAGUCAGGAUACAGGAUAUUCUCGCUUCUGGUUUUCUGGACGAACUUUUAGAGCUACGGGAUGAAGAGCUGCCCAAAGAUGCACAGGAUUCAAACUGGUUUUCUGCGCCCUCCGCUCUGAGAGUCUACGGUCAAUACUUAAAUUUAGAUACCAACAGAAACGGCAUGCUUUGUCAGGAAGAGCUCAGACGAUUCGGAACUGGCACGUUGACGCGAGUUUUCAUUCAACGAGUAUUCGAGGAGUGCAUGACCUAUGAGAAAGAAAUGGAUUAUAAAACGUACUUGGAUUUCGUAUUGGCCAUGGACAAUAAAAAGGAACCACAAGCACUUCAGUAUUUUUUCCGUUUGUUGGACGUCAAUCAUCGAAACCAUCUCAACACUUUUGACCUCCAUUUUUACUUCAAAGGGGUUCAAGAGUUGAUGCAGCAGCACAAACAAGAAGUCGUUGCUUUUGACGACGUCAAUGAUGAGAUUUUCGAUAUGGUGCGUCCUGCCGAUCCGUCAAAAAUCACUUUACAUGAUUUGAUUAACUGUGGAUACGGUGAAACUGUGAUCAAUAUCUUGAUUGAUUUGGAUGGAUUUUGGACAUACGAGAACCGUGAAGCUGUUGUCGUAACAGACAAGAAUAACCAAGAGAAACAGGACAUUUGAAUUUGGAAUUCUUGUACAUAGAAAUUGUGAGUGUAUUUUUUAAAAAAAAGCAAAGAAGUAGCAAGAUCGCGGAAUGGAUUGUAGGUGCGAUCUCAUCACCAUUUCCCUCUUUUGGACCAGUCUUUCGGUGUCCAGUGCAAGCAUUUGGGAUCGAUGUGUAAUUUCCAUUUCUCUUUGUUUUUUAUGCAAUUUUUCAUCGCUUCUUCGUUCAGAAUGAGUACGUACUGCCCCUUGUAGUAAUUGAUGAGGUUCAAAUGCUGUAAGGUGGACACCACGUCCUCUUUUUUAAUGCUCGUCAUUUCGCAAAUUUCGCUAUUUAAAUUAAAACGAAUUCGUUUGUCAACGUGAGCUCUAGAAUGAAGUAAUUUACAUCACUUACUUGAUGGUAAUUUGAGGACGUUCACCUUCACUGGAUGGUUUCAUAUUCAUCAGAAUAUCACAGAUUGUAAAAGCCCAGUAACUGCGAUAAGACAGCAACCCUAAAUCGGACAGAGGUUUUUCUGGCGAGCCCGUUUUGCCUUCGAACUUGGACAGCUCGUAACCUUUACGUAAACAAAAAUGGUUUUAAAAAAAUAUUUCCCCUUGGGUUUACGAUUCUGUACGCACUGAAUUCAAUAAGAAGUUUUCCAUAUCCUUUCCGUUGAUAGGGUGGUAAUGUUAAGAUGCAGGCGACAUUGUAGUCCUCCGAGCUUUCUUUCUCUUUGCUAAAGUAGCCGACGAUAUGAAAACCUCGUGCAUCCACUUCAGUCAUGACGUAAAAGAGGAACGGAUCAGUGUCGUAAUACAGUGUCUUGUGAUCAAGGAACAGUUUCGCUAGCAGGCAUAGGUUCUGAGCGUAUGCUUUAUUUUUACGGCCGUCGAUUUCAAAAAAAGAAAUUGUCUGUUUGCGGUAAACUUCAUUGCCUGGCGGAUGUCUAAGAUUGCACUUCAUCUGUAGAAAAAGUUUAAGGGUUGAUCAUCCAAUUAAAAAUAUAUCGUAAAAUUUUAAAUUACCAGAUGACGUUCUAGACAUUUUUCACUUUUCCGGUACUUGAGACAAAACUCGCAUAUGUAAAUACAAGCUUGGUGAACCAUUUCCUAAUUUUUGAAAAAGAAUAGUAAACAUUUCGGAUCUUUACGUUCGUUAGAUGAUGACAUACCUGAGGGUAGGGUGCGAAAUACCAAGGUUUUAUUCUGUGUCUGCCGAGUUCAAUCAUUUGAAUAUUUUUCAUUCGUGUUACAACGUCAUCGUGAUGUGUAACAAGACUGCCCGACUGACGUGGCCCUGGUGUAGUCGGUGCAGGGGUGGACGGUGGGGCCGGAGAGUUAGCAUCUCCUACCUCACAAACUGAAUCACCUAUGCAGAAAAUUUUAGUUUUAAUAAUCAUUUAUAUAUAAUAAAUAGAUUGUAGAAAAAAUGACUAAUUACUUGUAGGAACAGCACAACUAUCGCUAACUACGGUGGGUGGCAGAGUGGGGAUUGCUGUUUCUUGGCAGGUGGGAUUGGAAUAAUGGAUCCUGGACUGGGCUCUUCUUUUUCUCCAAUUUUACGUUUUCUUCCAUUUCUCUUUUGUAUUGCUGCAGCCAGUAGAGCAGACCCAUUGACAGUAAGGUCUGAUGCACUGGAUGCAGCUAGUGGGGAAGAAGGACGGGAAGAACCAGUUGUUCCUCCAACUUUUUUAGGAGUACUCAUGCCUGUGCCUACUUGAGUUCCAUCUUUUCUAGGAAACUGAAUUUUUCUCGUAUCUAAGAAAUCUUCUGAGACCCAAUCAUCAAGUCGUUUGUUGACUAGAGUUGAAUUAAAAAUUUUGUAAGAUGAUGUAUCGUUAAACAUAGCAUAUACAAAACUUACAGUCGAUGUAAUGGACAUAAAACA